rnacentral:rRNA from 1 species
UACAGAGGUCUCAAGCGUUGUUCGGAUUCAUUGGGCGUAAAGGGUGUGUAGGUGGCGCCGUAAGUCGGGUGUGAAAUCUCGGGGCUUAACUCCGAAACUGCAUUCGAUACUGCGGUGCUUGAGGACUGGAGAGGAGACUGGAAUUCAUGGUGUAGUAGUGAAAUGCGUAGAGAUGUGGAGGAACACCAGUGGCGAAGGCGACUCUCUGGUCUGUAACUGACGCUGAGGCGCGAAAGCGUGGGGAGCAAACAGG